rnacentral:tRNA from 1 species
GGGUUCCUAGCUCCAAGGCGGAGCAGCCGGCUCUUAACCGGUAGGGCGAGGUUCGAUUCCUCGGGAGCCCA